rnacentral:lncRNA from 1 species
GCGCAGUAUUCGUGUGGGAGUGACCCGAUUUUCCAGGUGCCCUCCGUCACCCCUUUCUUUGACUCGGAAAGGGAACUCCCUGACCCCUUGCGCUUCCCGAGUGAGGCAAUGCCUCGCCCUGCUUCGGCUCGCGCACGGUGCGCGCACCCACUGACCUGCGCCCACUGUCUGGCACUCCCUAGUGAGAUGAACCCGGUACCUCAGAUGGAAAUGCAGAAAUCACCGUCUUCUGCGUCGCUCACGCUGGGAGCUGUAGACCGGAGCUGUUCCUAUUCGGCCAUCUUGGCUCCCAGUUGUGUGGUUUUAAAACUUUGAAUAUAUCAUCUCAUUCCUUCCUGGCCCACAAGGUUUUUGCUGAGAAGUCUCCUGACAUCCUUAUGGGUCUGGAAAUAACUGGGAAAGAAAAGCCUUGUGGAAAGAAGACAUCUCCAGUUCUUGAGGCUGGGAAGUCCAAGAUCAAGAUACUGGCAGUUCUAAUAUCUGGGAAAACAUGCUGCUUCUUCAAAGACUCCAAUUUCAGAUGGCAAAAUGCAUGGAAGCUGAGAUGGACCUUCUGGAGUUUUCGAUAAACCACUGUAGCUCAGUCAGAGGUCCAAUUAUGAUGAUACCCACACAGCCCGGUCCUCCCACAGCCUACAUCCAAUCCUCUGAGGAAGCUGAGUGGCACUGCCUUUAUUCACCACAGAUGCUACAGAAUCAGCAGGAAAAAUGCACUCUUUUAAGAGAUGGAGUCUUGCUAUAUUUCCCAAGAUGGACUUGAACUCCUGGGCUCAAGCAGUCCUCCCACCUCAGCCUUCCAAGUUGCUGGAACUAUAUAGGUGCACACCACUGUGUCCGGCUAAAUUUGUGUAUUUCCAUGGAUGUAUAAUAUAUUUACAUAUCUACUAUCUUUCAUCAAAUUUUUUGUAAAAUAGACUCUGAAUUGGAGAUUUGCAUACAGGAAGUUUAAUGGUUUAUCCUCUGGAACAAUGUCUGUAAGAGAGGGAGGAAAGCAGGAAUGUUCCAAGGGAAAAGUUGAAGCAUGGUGAGUUACAACAGAGGCAUACAUUGUUCAGUUCCACAUGGAAAUUUAGAUCUUGGAUGGACCUUCCAACUGGUGUUGAUUUGAUAUCAGGAGCCCCUCUGUAACCACACAUUGACUAGUGACUGGAUAUAAGCUGCCCCUUGGGGAGAGGGCUGGACAUCAGACAAGGCAGAUCCAUGGAAAUUCUAAGAAAGUGACUCAAAUGUGGGCUAUCAGCAGCCAAUCUUCUAUGCAUUUGAUGGAAUAAGUGCCUCUGUCCUGAGGAGGUGACCACAACCUUCACUACAGUUCAUCUCUG